rnacentral:rRNA from 1 species
ACGCUGGCGGCGUGCUAACACAUGCAAGUCGAACGAUGAUAGAGAGCUUGCUUUUCUUGAUUAGUGGCGCACGGGUGAGUAAUGCAUAGAUAAUGUGCCCCUUAGUUCGGGAUAGCCACUGGAAACGGUGAUUAAUACCGGAUACUCCUUCUUGUUAUAAGACAAGUCGGGAAAGUUUUUCGCUAAGGGAUCAGUCUAUGUUCCAUCAGCUUGUUGGUGAGGUAAUGGCUCACCAAGGCUAUGACGGAUAUCUGGUUUGAGAGGAUGAUCAGACACACUGGAACUGAGACACGGUCCAGACUCCUACGGGAGGCAGCAGUGAGGAAUAUUGCACAAUGGAGGAAACUCUGAUGCAGCAACGCCGCGUGGAGGAUGACGCAUUUCGGUGUGUAAACUCCUUUUAUUAGGGAAGAUAAUGACGGUACCUAAUGAAUAAGCACCGGCUAACUCCGUGCCAGCAGCCGCGGUAAUACGGAGGGUGCAAGCGUUACUCGGAAUCACUGGGCGUAAAGGGUGCGUAGGCUGGCUUUUAAGUCAGAUGUGAAAUCCAAUGGCUCAACCAUUGAACUGCAUUUGAAACUGAAAGCCUAGAGCUCAGAAGGGGCAGAUGGAAUUAGUGGUGUAGGGGUAAAAUCCGUAGAUAUCACUAGGAAUAUCAAAAGCGAAGGCGAUCUGCUGGGAUGAUACUGACG